GAUAUUAAAAAGUUGCUGUCCUCAAUUCAUUUCACCCUGCUGUGAAAAUGUCACCAUCGCAAGCUUCCUAGAAAGCUAUGACGGAGAUUAUAAACGUGGCCCAUAUGCAGUCCUUUAUUGGCUGAUUAGGCGCUCUGAAGUCACUGUAGCAGGUGCUCAAGAGCGGAACACACCCGAGGAGUAAGCUCCACCCUCAAGGAUUUCCAGAUCCACUCGGGAAAAGACAUGGACAAAAACCAUCAAUUGGGAUACAGCACGGUAAGAAGAAAACGAUAUCAUCAUUAUUUCCUGCCAUGCCUAUAAAACUGGAAAACAUGCCAGUAGAAGUGCAGCUCUGCUCCAGAUCACCCUCGUUCCGACAGCCAGGACGGCGGAGCCUCCACGGGCCAUAGGCUGGACUGGCUGGAAGGGACCCGGUCAUUUCAGCUCGCAUUUCACUGGCCAGAACAAGUCACAUGGGCACAACUUAAGGCAGCUGGGCAGAGAAAGAGAGCCCUCCCCCAGGAAGGGGCAGUGAAUAUCCCAACAAGAACACCGUCUGGUACAGUAGAGUGUAUUUAAUUCACUGCAUACGUGAUGUUACGGUCACUUACCGCACAGGCCCCCCCAAGUAACUACCCAGAAUCCCCUCUUCAGCUCUUGGCUCAAAUGCUACUUCCCAGUGAGGCCUUCCCUUACCACCUCCUAUCUCCCAUCUCUGCUCUAUGGUUCUCCACUUUCAAACAGUCCUGCCAAAACCAACAGGUAUAUGUA